AGCUUUGCGCAGUGGCAGUAUCGUAGCCAAUGACGUUUAUCCGAGGUGCAAUUAUUGCUAUAAUCUGGCCCUAGUCUACCUGUUUAUAAUAUUUUUUCAACUUUCAUUCAUUCAUUGAUUCAUAUAUUUAUCCAGUAAAUAUGUGUUGAGUGCCUACUC
rnacentral:snRNA from 1 species